GGAAGCUGGGAGCAGCCGGACUGGGAAGCCACACAACAAAAGAGUACAAACUGCUUCUGUAUCUGAGCCAUCAGAACAAGUGACUGCUGCCAAGAUCCAUCCAGGCUUUAUGUUAACGCUUGAAAGGGCGUUCUCCACCUGCCCCACUGUUGAGUGAUGAUGAAGACGAUGAUCUGGACUGGCUAAACUGACAUGACA